CUUGCGGAGGUAGAGCACUGAAUUGCCUAGGGGGCGUCAAAGCUUACCAAAGCAUAUCAAACUCCGAAUGCCAUCAAGAUGAUUCAUGGGAGUCAGACCAUACGAGAUAAGUUGGAUGGUCAAAAGGGAAAGAGCCCAGACCUACAGCUAAGGUCCCAAAGUGCGUGUUAAGUGGAAAAGGAUGUGGGGAUUCUAAGACAACUAGGACGUUGGCUUAGAAGCAGCCAUUCAUUGAAAGAGUGCGUAAUAGCUCACUAGUCGAGAGUCCCUGCGCCGAAAAUGUCCGGGGCUGAAACACGACACCGAAGCUUAGGAAUGUGUAAACAUUGGUAGAGGAGCAUUGCUGGCGGGAUGAAGCCAUACCGUAAGGAGUGGUGGACUGCCAGGAAGAGAGAAUGCCGGAAUGAGUAGCGAGAUGAAGGUGAGAAUCCUUCAGGCCGAAUAUCUAAGGUUUCCAGAGUAAAGCUGAUCUGCUCUGGGUAAGUCGGGACCUAAGGCGAGGUCGAAAGACGUAGUCGAUGGAUAACAGGUUGAAAUUCCUGUACCGCAUAUAAACAGAACUGUGGGGACACAGACAGGGAAUGGAAUCCGGGAAUGGAUAUCCCGGUGCAAGCGAGGUAGGAGUGCUGUUGGCAAAUCCGCAGCACGAUCUGAAGACGUGACGCGUACCGAACAUAAGUAGGGAAGUCCAGGCCCCUGGCUGUCAAGAAAAGCCGCUAUUGUUUUAUAUGUGCCCGUACCGCAAACCGACACAGGUGGAUGAGGAGAGAAUCCUAAGGCCGACGGGAGAAGUAUUGUUAAGGAACUCGGCAAAAUGACUCCGUAACUUCGGGAGAAGGAGUGCCAUGAGAGUGGCCGCAGAGAAAUGGCCCAAGCAACUGUUUAGCAAAAACACAGGUCUAUGCAAAACCGCAAGGUGAAGUAUAUGGGCUGACGCCUGCCCGGUGCUGGAAGGUUAAGGGGAGAGGUUAGCGCAAGCGAAGCUUUGAACUUAAGCCCCAGUAAACGGCGGCCGUAACUAUAACGGUCCUAAGGUAGCGAAAUUCCUUGUCGGGUAAGUUCCGACCCGCACGAAAGGCGUAAUGAUUUGGGCACUGUCUCAACGAUACACCCGGUGAAAUUGAAAUACCAGUGAAGAUGCUGGUUACCUGCGCCAGGACGGAAAGACCCCAUGGAGCUUUACUCCAGUUUGAUACUGGGAUUCGGCAUGGUAUGUACAGGAUAGGUGGGAGACUGAGAAGGUAUGACGUCAGUUGUACCGGAGUCGCUGUUGGGAUACCACCCUUACCAUGUUGGAUUUCUAACCUGUGGCCGUAAGCCGGUCAGGGGACAAUGUCAGGCGGGGAGUUUGACUGGGGCGGUCGCCUCCGAAAGGGUAUCGGAGGCGCUCAAAGGUUCCCUCAGAAUGGUUGGAAACCAUUCGAAGAGUGCAAAGGCAGAAGGGAGCUUGACUGCGACACCGACGGGUGGAGCAGGUACGAAAGUAGGACUUAGUGAUCCGGUGGUAUAA
rnacentral:rRNA from 1 species